GACGAACGCUGGCGGUGUGCCUAAUACAUGCAAGUCGAGCGCGGGAAAUAAGCUGAUUCUCAUCUGAGAUGACGCUUAUGGAACGAGCGGCGGACGGGUGAGUAACACGUGGGUAACCUGCCUGUGAGACUGGGAUAACUUGCGGAAACGUGAGCUAAUACCGGAUAACACUUUCUAUUGCAUGAUAGAAAGAUGAAAGACGGCGUAAGCUGUCACUUACAGAUGGACCCGCGGCGCAUUAGCUAGUUGGUGAGGUAAGGGAUCACCAAGGCGACGAUGCGUAGCCGACCUGAGAGGGUGAUCGGCCACACUGGGACUGAGACACGGCCCAGACUCCUACGGGAGGCAGCAGUAGGGAAUCUUCCGCAAUGGACGAAAGUCUGACGGAGCAACGCCGCGUGAGUGAUGAAGGUCUUCGGAUCGUAAAACUCUGUUGUUAGGGAAGAACAAGUUGGGUAGUAACUGACCUGACCUUGACGGUACCUAACCAGAAAGCCACGGCUAACUACGUGCCAGCAGCCGCGGUAAUACGUAGGUGGCAAGCGUUGUCCGGAUUUAUUGGGCGUAAAGCGCGCGCAGGCGGUCUUUUAAGUCUGAUGUGAAAUCUUGCGGCUUAACCGUAAGCGGUCAUUGGAAACUGGAGGACUUGAGUACAGAAGAGGAGAGUGGAAUUCCACGUGUAGCGGUGAAAUGCGUAGAGAUGUGGAGGAACACCAGUGGCGAAGGCGACUCUCUGGUCUGUAACUGACGCUGAGGCGCG
rnacentral:rRNA from 1 species